rnacentral:tRNA from 1 species
GGCAGAGUAGCCUAAUGGUAAAAUGCUGGAUCAGUAGUCGGGAGGUCGUGGGUUCGAACCCCACCACUGGCA